ensembl:lncRNA
AAGGGUUAUUAAUCUUAUAAAAUAAUUUAAGUGCAUUGGUGAAGUAUUAAAUGUUUUUUUUUCAAGAGGGCACUGAUUUGUUAAUGCAGUGUUUGACAGAUGCAAUGUAGCUGCUUACUAAUGGAUUUGUAAUUGAUGAAGUAACACUUAAUAAGUCUUGCAAAAGUCGGGUUUGAGGUUAGGCUCCUUGGACGAACACUGGAAUGUGUCAUCUGGGCAGAAGCAGGUAGCAAUCAAACGAAGACAGUUCAGGACUGUUGCCACCAGCAUAAGAAAUCCUGAGUGGUUGGGAAAAGAAAUACGACAUGUAAUGUAACUGUUAUAUAUUAAAUUAACGCACACAUUAAACUAACACAUCUAAAUAUUAUUAUGAUUUAUUUAAUUAACUUAAGCUUGGCACUGCUUCAAUUACAGUAUAAUGUGCUUUUUAGGAGGUUAAAUCAUGUGAAAACGAAUCUCAUGUCUACAUUAAUCAGGAUUGUCUUAGUAAAUCCAGAAUAAUACAACAGUUUGUGAUUUACUCCACAGUGUCCUCUAUUAAAAUCUAUAUUCUUACCGCAGUAGACUGUGUUAGGUGGAAGGUCAUGGACACGAUAUCCUCUGGAGAACAUCGCACCCAGGCCCAGAAUCAACACGGGGUGAGCAUCCCCAGAAGGAGUAGUGUAAGGACCAAGGAGCUAACCAAAGAGUCAGACACCCCAGCCUGGUAUCGCAUCACCACUCCCAGACUGAUUAAUGCCUCCAGAAGGGUCCACCAGCCAAACAGCGCCAAUCCAUUCUGGGUCUGCCUCACACAACAACGACACUCAUUUAGAGGAACCAUCAUAAAGAUAUGUGAUGUGUAUAUAAUAAAAUGAGAUGUGCU